rnacentral:rRNA from 1 species
AGCGAACGCUGGCGGCAGGCUUAACACAUGCAAGUCGAGCGCCCGUAGCAAUACGGGAGCGGCAGACGGGAGAGUAACACGUGGGAACAUACCUUUUGGUUCGGAACAACCCAGGGAAACUUGGGCUAAUACCGGAUAAGCCCUUACGGGGAAAGAUUUAUCGCCGAAAGAUUGGCCCGCGUCUGAUUAGCUAGUUGGUGAGGUAACGGCUCACCAAGGCUACGAUCAGUAGCUGGUCUGAGAGGAUGAUCAGCCUCACUGGGACUGAGACACGGCCCAGACUCCUACGGGAGGCAGCGGUGGGGAAUAUUGGACAAUGGGCGCAAGCCUGAUCCAGCCAUGCCGCGUGAGUGAUGAAGGCCUUAGGGUUGUAAAGCUCUUUUAGCGGGGAAGAUAAUGACGGUACCCGCAG